rnacentral:sRNA from 2 species
UGUAUCGGAAGCCUGACGAGGAUGAGAACCUCCGGGGGCAAGAGGUUCGACUCGAGCGCAGCGAGAGAACGUUGCGUCAGCAACGGCCCG